rnacentral:rRNA from 1 species
UACGUAGGGUCCGAGCGUUGUCCGGAAUUACUGGGCGUAAAGAGCUCGUAGGUGGUUUGUCGCGUUGUUCGUGAAAACUCACAGCUCAACUGUGGGCGUGCGGGCGAUACGGGCAGACUAGAGUACUGCAGGGGAGACUGGAAUUCCUGGUGUAGCGGUGGAAUGCGUAGAUAUCUGGAGGAACACCGGUGGCGAAGGCGGCAUCCUGGACCGGUAUUGACGCUGAGGCGCGAAAGCUAGGGGAGCAAACGGG